UGUACUUUUAACAAGCUUAAGGUACAUUAUGCAGCAAAUCAGAGAUCACAAAAUCAUAAUUGAAAAGAGUUGUUUAUUAAAGUAAAAAAGGUUAGGCUACUGGUAAAUUUCCACCCAAUUGGCAUAUACAAGUUUCAUUAAUAACUCAGCUGAGAUUUCAGCUAGUCUUUACAAAUUAUUACUGGACAUAUUUACAAUAUCAUAUCAGUGUAGGAUGAUGAUAUGGCCUAUUCAAAUACCAAGAAUAUGGCCUCUUUUACACACUGGUAAAUUGCCUGUGAACCGGACCUUUUCAAAAAUACUGGUAAAAUGUAUUUUGUGUGAACAGCACAUUUAACAAAAAAAAAAAAAAAGUCGUUAACUGCAGUUACUUUUAUUAUUAUUAUUAUUAUUAUUAUGUUAUGCAUUACUUUGUGAAAAAGGUUUAUCGCUGUCAAGUAAUCAUUCUGAAAGAACACUGUUUCCAUAGCAUCCAGAGCUUUUAACGGCUGCUGAGAUGACACGUGACUUUACCAAUCAGCCAUUGGCUCUUCUAUUCAGAAGGCGCGAUAUCUACUUGCCAUUGCGUGUUGUACAGAGAGUGCACUUUCUUUCUCACUUGUAAUAGGAGUGCGUGAAAUGAUCGAAAAUGUCGGUUAAUUGUCCAUCCCUGUCGAGUUUUUCCACGGAUGAAUUAAUUCAGAAAAUAAUUGAAGCUGGAAUACAGAUUAACGAAGAAGAGGCAAGGAAAUUCAGGGGAGGAGGGCCACCGCCACAAGACCUGUUCGAGACGUCUAAAUUGAUGGAAGAAAUAUUAGGAAAGGACUCUCCGACUCUAGUCUAGCUGGCGUGCCUCAAAACAGCUCGGGAAGCAGACAUUCAUCUGAGGAGAGAGGAUCGGCCAGAGUAACAUCCUCGCUGAACUUCAACGAGAAGUUCUUUUGCUGCAGAAGAGGAAAGCAGAGUUGGAGAUUUCUAAAUUAGAAAUGGAAAAAGAAAACUUGAAUAUACAGAACAUAAUUCUACAAUACAAAAUUAACAAACUUGCGCAAGAGGGGUUAAUAACUUUACACCCAAUAAGAGAAGAAUAACACAAACAAUAAUCUGAUAUAGAGUAUUUAUUAUUCAAAUGAUUUGUAAUAGACCUACAUAAAUAUUAAUUUUCUAUAUAUAAUAAUCCAGUAUGAUUUUCUUAUUGUAAAUGUUUCAGUGUCUGUUUUUUUCAAUCUAUAGCCUAAAUAAAAAUGUUGUUUCAUAAAUUGAAGUCUGUUUUCAUUUUAUUUAUUUUUAUUAUUAACUUAAUUCAUACAGUGUCUAAUCUGGAAAUUAAUAUACAGUUUAACAUAUUCUAGAUUUAGGGAAAAAAUGUUUGCACAAGCAUGUCUCGGAUAGCGUGUCCCUCCAUUACACCCUCCACGUCUUGAUUUGGCUGCACUGCUUCAUCAGGGUCAGCAUGUUCAUCCAUGAGCACACCAAAGUCUUUUGAUAUGUUAAACAGGACGACACAUGCAAUGAUAACUCUCCCUGCUCUUGUUGGUUCCAGGCGAAUCUCUCCGUGAAAUCUCCUUUUAA